rnacentral:rRNA from 1 species
UACGUAGGGUGCGAGCGUUGUCCGGAAUUAUUGGGCGUAAAGAGCUCGUAGGCGGUCUGUCGCGUCGAUCGUGAAAACUUGGGGCUUAACCCUGAGCUUGCGGUCGAUACGGGCAUGACUGGAGUUCGGCAGGGGAGACUGGAAUUCCUGGUGUAGCGGUGAAAUGCGCAGAUAUCAGGAGGAACACCAGCGGCGAAGGCGGCGCUCUGGGCCGGUACUGGCGCUGAGGAGCGAAAGCGUGGGGAGCAAACAGG